ACACUGCAGAGAAGUGAUUGUGAAGGUCUC
rnacentral:piRNA from 3 species